CCUACGGGGGGCAGCAGUGAGGAAUAUUGGUCAAUGGACGAGAGUCUGAACCAGCCAAGUAGCGUGAAGGAUGACUGCCCUAUGGGUUGUAAACUUCUUUUAUAUGGGAAUAAAACGUUCCACGUGUGGGAUUUUGUAUGUACCAUAUGAAUAAGGAUCGGCUAACUCCGUGCCAGCAGCCGCGGUAAUACGGAGGAUCCGAGCGUUAUCCGGAUUUAUUGGGUUUAAAGGGUGCGUAGGUGGAUUGUUAAGUCAGUUGUGAAAGUUUGCGGCUCAACCGUAAAAUUGCAGUUGAAACUGGCAGUCUUGAGUACAGUAGAGGUGGGCGGAAUGCGUGGUGUAGCGGUGAAAUGCUUAGAUAUCACGAAGAACUCCGAUUGCGAAGGCAGUUCACUGGACUGCAACUGACACUGAGGCUCGAAAGUGUGGGUAUCAAACAGGAUUAGAUACCCCGGUAGUC
rnacentral:rRNA from 1 species